rnacentral:rRNA from 1 species
CCUACGGGGGGCAGCAGUGAGGAAUAUUGGUCAAUGGGCGGGAGCCUGAACCAGCCAAGUCGCGUGAGGGAAGACGGUCCUAUGGAUUGUAAACCUCUUUAGGCGGGUGGCAAUGCCGGGCACGUGUGCCCGGAGGGAGAGUACCCGCAGAAUAAGCAUCGGCUAACUCCGUGCCAGCAGCCGCGGUAAUACGUAGGAUGCGAGCGUUAUCCGGUUUUAUUGGGUUUAAAGGGUGCGUAGGCGGAUGUUUAAGUCAGCGGUAAAAUGUCCGGGCUCAACCAGGGCCGGCCGUUGAAACUGGGGAUCUUGAGUGGGCGAGAAGUAUGCGGAAUGCGUGGUGUAGCGGUGAAAUGCAUAGAUAUCACGAAGAACUCCGAUGGCGAAGGCAGCAUACCGGCGCCCGACUGACGCUGAGGUACGAAAGCGUGGGGAGCGAACAGGAUUAGAUACCCUUGUAGUC